CUGACAGCAAUUUGAAGUGUUUCAAUUAUUUAAAAAUACAGGCUAAGGCUACAUUAGAAUAACAACCCUGAGUUACAGAAUGAGGGAUCAA